CAGCAGCCGCGGGAAUACGUAGGUGGCAAGCGUUGUCCGGAAUUAUUGGGCGUAAAGGGCUCGCAGGCGGUUUCUUAAGUCUGAUGUGAAAGCCCCCGGCUCAACCGGGGAGGGUCAUUGGAAACUGGGAAACUUGAGUGCAGAAGAGGAGAGUGGAAUUCCACGUGUAGCGGUGAAAUGCGUAGAGAUGUGGAGGAACACCAGUGGCGAAGGCGACUCUCUGAUCUGUAACUGACGCUGAGGAGCGAAAGCGUGGGGAGCGAACAGGAUUAGAUACCCCUGUAGUCCCUGUCUCUUAUAC
rnacentral:rRNA from 1 species